AUACGUAGGGAGCGAGCGUUGUCCGGAAUUACUGGGUGUAAAGGGUGCGUAGGCGGGACUGCAAGUCAGAUGUGAAAUGCCGGGGCUCAACCCCGGAGCUGCAUUUGAAACUGUGGUUCUUGAGGGAGGUAGAGGUAAGCGGAAUUCCUAGUGUAGCGGUGAAAUGCGUAGAUAUUAGGAGGAAAAUCGGUGGCGAAGGCGGCUUACUGGGCCUUUACUGACGCUGAGGCACGAAAGCGUGGGGAGCAAACAGGAUUAGAUACCCCGGUAGUCCACGCUGUAAACGAUGAUGACUAGGUGUGGGGGGACUGAACCCUUCCGUGCCGCAGUUAACACAAUAAGUCAUCCACCUGGGGAGUACGGCCGCAAGGUUGAAACUCAAAGGAAUUGACGGGG
rnacentral:rRNA from 1 species